UACGGAGGGUGCGAGCGUUGUCCGGAAUCACUGGGCGUAAAGGGCGCGUAGGCGGCCGAGCAAGGUCGCGGUGAAAGCCCGGGGCUCAACCCCGGGUCGGCCGUGGCAACUACUCGGCUCGAGCACUGUAGGGGCGGGUGGAAUUCCGGGUGUAGCGGUGGAAAUGCGUAGAGUAUCCGGAGAACACCGGUGGCGAAGGCGGCCUCCUGGGACCGAGACACUCGACGCUGAGGG
rnacentral:rRNA from 1 species